rnacentral:rRNA from 1 species
GCAAGUCGGACGGCAGCGCGAGGUAAGCUUGCUUACCUUGGCGGCGAGUGGCGAACGGGUGAGUAAUGUAUCGGAACGUGCCCAGUAGCGGGGGAUAACCACUCGAAAGAGUGGCUAAUACCGCAUACGCCCUACGGGGGAAAGCGGGGGACCUUUCGGGGCCUCGCACUAUUGGAGCGGCCGAUAUCGGAUUAGCUAGUUGGUGGGGUAAAGGCCUACCAAGGCGUCGAUCCGUAGCUGGUUUGAGAGGACGACCAGCCACACUGGGACUGAGACACGGCCCAGACCCCUACGGGAGGCAGCGGUGGGGAAUUUUGGACAAUGGGGGCAACCCUGAUCCAGCCAUCCCGCGUGUGCGAUGAAGGCCUUCGGGUUGUAAAGCACUUUUGGCAGGGAAGAAAAGGCUCUGGCUAAUACCUGGAGCUGCUGACGGUACCUGCAGAAUAAGCACCGGCAAACUACGUGCCAGCAGCCGCGGUAAUACGUAGGGUGCAAGCGUUAAUCGGAAUUACUGGGCGUAAAGCGUGCGCAGGCGGUUCGGCAAGAAGGAUGUGAAAUCCCAGGGCUUAACCUUGGAACUGCAUUCUUAACUGCCGGGCUAGAGUAUGUCAGAGGGGGGUAGAAUUCCGCGUGUAGCAGUGAAAUGCGUAGAGAUGCGGAGGAAUACCGAUGGCGAAGGCAGCCCCCUGGGAUAAUACUGACGCUCAUGCACGAAAGCGUGGGGAGCAAACAGGAUUAGAUACCCUGGUAGUCCACGCCCUAAACGAUGUCAACUAGCUGUUGGGGCCGUUAGGCUUUAGUAGCGCAGCUAACGCGUGAAGUUGACCGCCUGGGGAGUACGGUCGCAGAUUACACUCAAUGAAUUGACGGAA